CAGCCGCCGCGGUAAUACGAAGGGGGCUAGCGUUGCUCGGAAUGACUGGGCGUAAAGGGCGCGUAGGCGGCGGCCAAAGUCAGGCGUGAAAUUCCCGGGCUCAACCUGGGGGCUGCGUUUGAUACUUGGUUGCUUGAGUGGGGAAGAGGGUCGUGGAAUUCCCAGUGUAGAGGUGAAAUUCGUAGAUAUUGGGAAGAACACCGGUGGCGAAGGCGGCGACCUGGUCCUUUACUGACGCUGAGGCGCGAAAGCGUGGGGAGCAAACAGGAUUAGAUACCCGAGUAGUCCCUGUCUCUUAUAA
rnacentral:rRNA from 1 species